GAUGAACGCUGGCGGCGUGCUUAACACAUGCAAGUCGAACGGAAAGGCCCAAGCUUGCUUGGGUACUCGAGUGGCGAACGGGUGAGUAACACGUGGGUGAUCUGCCCUGCACUUCGGGAUAAGCCUGGGAAACUGGGUCUAAUACCGGAUAGGACGAUGGUUUGGAUGCCAUUGUGGAAAGUUUUUUCGGUGUGGGAUGAGCUCGCGGCCUAUCAGCUUGUUGGUGGGGUAAUGGCCUACCAAGGCGUCGACGGGUAGCCGGCCUGAGAGGGUGUACGGCCACAUUGGGACUGGGAUACGGCCCAGACUCCUACGGGGGGCAGCAGUGGGGAAUAUUGCACAAUGGGGGCAAGCCUGAUGCAGCGACGCCGCGUGGGGGAUGACGGCCUUCGGGUUGUAAACUCCUUUCGCUGGGGACGAAGCGUUUUUGUGACGGUACCUGGAGAAGAAGCACCGGCUAACUACGUG
rnacentral:rRNA from 1 species